UACGUAGGCAGCAAGCGUUGUUCGGAGUUACUGGGCGUAAAGAGUGCGUAGGUGGUGCCCUAAGUCUGUUGUGAAAUCUCCCGGCUUAACUGGGAGGGUGCGGUGGAAACUGGGGUGCUUGAGUGUGGGAGAGGUAAGCGGAAUUCCUGGUGUAGCGGUGAAAUGCGUAGAUAUCUGAAGGAACAUCAGUGGCGAAAGCGACUUCCUGGACCAAUACUGACGCUCAUGUGCGAAAGCGUGGGGAGCAAACAGG
rnacentral:rRNA from 1 species